UCAGUCGACUCCUACGGGGAGGCAGCAGUGGGGGAAUAUUGCACAAUGGGCGCAAGCCUGAUGCAGCCAUGCCGCGUGUAUGAAGAAGGACCUUCGGGUUGUAAAGUACUUUCAGCAGUGAGGAAGGUGGGGUAUGUUAAUAGCAUAUUCAUUUGACGUUAGCUGCAGAAGAAAGCACCGGCUAACUCCGUGCCAGCAGCCGCGGUAAUACGGAGGGUGCGAGCGUUAAUCGGAAUUACUGGGCGUAAAGCGCAUGCAGGUGGUUUGUUAAGUCAGAUGUGAAAGCCCGGGGCUCAACCUCGGAAUUGCAUUUGAAACUGGCAAACUAGAGUACUGUAGAGGGGGGUAGGAAUUUCAGGUGUAGCGGUGAAAUGCGUAGAGAUCUGAAGGAAUACCGGUGGCGAAGGCGGCCCCCUGGACAGAUACUGACACUCAGAUGCGAAAGCGUGGGGAGCAAACAGGAUUAGAUACCCUGGUAG
rnacentral:rRNA from 1 species